CUCAGAUCGGUGGACGUGCUCGCCUCCACUCGGGGCCAGGUCUAUGUCCCGGUUUCCCGCAGUCGCGGGCAGGGCGCCAAGGCGGCAGGAGGAGGGUGAGCGGUCAAGAGACCUCCAGGAAGAGCGGCUCUCGGCUGUUUGCAUCGCCGAUAGAGCCUGCCUUUGGGUACAGUAUGAAGGGAGCCAGUUUCCAGGAGCCAGUUUCCAU
rnacentral:lncRNA from 1 species